AUUAUUAUUCUCCAUAUAAUUAGCAUCAAUAUUUUCUCUCCCAAACAAAAGAAAAACACUUCCCUCUUCGUUUGGGGUUUUGUAAAGCAAUCGGCGACCGGAACUUUGAAGCUGUUGCCAGACCUCUCUUCUUUAAUUAAGGUCGUUGCCGAUCGUUUUCCGUCAUUAGGAACAAGUAGAGGGACGCCGUCAGUUUUUCAUUGAAGUUCAUCGUUGACUCGCCACAGACUCGCCAACCGGCCAUUCUAUCACAAUAGCAGUCGCUGUCGAAGAGGCCGCCCAAACCUGCUCUCUUCCCCGACGGACACAUCGUUUCGGAAAAGACCGCCAUCGAUGGAGGAUACAACUCGAUCUCGCCGUAGCACCGACCCUGAUUAUGUGGUCGGAAACAACAUACACAAUUCUGAUUCAAGAUCAUAGGUUAGUUUGGUUCCUAACCACAGUUUCCUAUGGUUUCGAAUUUGUUUUUGCUGAGUUGUUACUAAUCCCGAUUUUGUCAAGAGUUGGAUCGAAAUGAUAAGGUUAUUUUAUGAUUCCUCUAUUCUUCUUCAAUAUUGUUAUAGAAUUACGUUUUUAUUUAACAAAUCUUUUAACAUUUCUGAAGCGAUUUUUGCCAUUAGUUAUGGUAUCUGAUUUUGUUUCAAGUUUAGUUUCUGAUUCUGUUUCAAAAGAAAUUCUAAUUUUCGAUUCUGUUUCAGUUUCUUCUGUUUACCUAUGUUAAGAUUGGUGCAAAUUGAUCAUAAAUCUAGUUUUGGUACAUUACGAGCCUAUUAGUUGGGUUUCGGUGCAGAUUGAUCGUUUUCAUAUUUGAUUUGUGCAUGUUGUACCUAAUUUUGAACUUGAUACAUUCAGUUAUGUAUAGUAAUGGAUUCAACGAACUAAGGUUGAUUUUAGUUCGGUUUCAAUUAUAUUUUGACGAACUUCGAUGAUUACGUCUCGGCCUUGACUCUUGUGUUCAAGUCUAUCCAUCAUGCCAGAGUUCUCAUCAUGUUGAAUCAUAUCUGGUAAAUUUAACUACUCAACUAUUUAAUUGUGCUCUUUUCAGUAUAUAUAUGUUGUUCUAUGUCUAGAGUGAGUCAAUAUCUCUAUUAAUAACAUAAUUCAUAUGAUUAUCGUAUAACAUUUGUGAUAUUUGAAACUUUUAAAUUUAUUCUUCCACUGGUUUAUUGUUCCACGAACGAUGCUCUUUAAACUAACUUCUUAAUUGGUGAAGUUCGAUCAUUAAUCAUACUAUUUGCUGAUUUUAAAGUUUGCUUCAGUCAUAAUCUGUUAUUGUUCUAACCAUAUCAUGUCUACGUUAUAUAGUAGAAAACGUCUCAAAAAGCAAAAGGAAUUAGUGAACUGAAGUUAUUAUGUUUCAUUUUUGUGUUUAAAUAUCGAACUGAAGUUUUAGGCAUAUUUUUUUGUUUCAUAAAAGGCAUUCUUCUCUGUUUAUGGGGGAAGUUUAACCAGUUUUAUAUUUUGUUUGGAUCUAGUCAAUAAAAAGAAUUCAUCCUAAACAGUAUGUCUUGUCCCAAUGAUUUUGAAAUUCAAAAUUACUAUAAAUCGAAUGGAACACAACUGAUGUUGUACGAAAGAUAAGUUUUUCUACAAGUUGUUGAAUUAAACAUAGGUGAAUUCCCGUGACAUGUCCCUUUGUACCUCAUUGACUGGAUACUAACAAUUAUAGGUUGUAUGUAGUAAGGUACAUAAACCAUUAUCAUGGGCGGUGUACAACAUACCAGAACCAACAAUGGAGUACUUUUGCCGUUCUUCACAAUGAUAGACUGAAGUAUCUAUUUCGUGUGGUACUUUCUGAUGUAAACAAAACUUGUGGACAAGUUUUGGCGAAAGCUGUCCAAUUCUGCGAGGAGAUGAAAUUGCAAAGAAAGCUCGUAAAGUAAAGAACUUUUUAGCUACUACGCCGCUCUUCUAAGGUUCUUUAACUGUGUUUUACCAGCAUAAUGUCAGAGCCAGUCUCAUCAUNNN
rnacentral:lncRNA from 1 species